CCUACGGGAGGCAGCAGCGGGGAAUAUUGGACAAUGGGGGCAACCCUGAUCCAGCCAUGCCGCGUGUGUGAAGAAGGCCCUCGGGUUGUAAAGCACUUUCAGUGAGGAAGAACGCCUGGUGGUUAAUACCCAUCAGGAAAGACAUCACUCACAGAAGAAGCACCGGCUAACUCCGUGCCAGCAGCCGCGGUAAUACGGAGGGUGCGAGCGUUAAUCGGAAUUACUGGGCGUAAAGCGCGCGUAGGUGGCUUGAUAAGCCGGUUGUGAAAGCCCCGGGCUCAACCUGGGAACGGCAUCCGGAACUGUCAAGCUAGAGUGCAGGAGAGGAAGGUAGAAUUCCCGGUGUAGCGGUGAAAUGCGUAGAGAUCGGGAGGAAUACCAGUGGCGAAGGCGGCCUUCUGGACUGACACUGACACUGAGGUGCGAAAGCGUGGGUAGCAAACAGGAUUAGAUACCCUGGUAGUC
rnacentral:rRNA from 1 species